AACAAACGCUGGCGGCGUGCCUAAUACAUGCAAGUCGAACGGGGAAAGUUCUUCGGAAUGAGUACUAGUGGCGUACGGGUGAGCAACACGUGGAUAAUCUUCCUUCAGGUGGGGAAUAACGAGUCGAAAGAUUCGCUAAUACCGCAUAAGACCACAGUAACUUUGGUUACAGGGGUUAAAGACUUCGGUCGCCUUUAGAUGAGUCUGCGUCCGAUUAGCUAGUUGGUGAGGUAAUGGCUCACCAAGGCGACGAUCGGUAACUGGUCUGAGAGGACGGCCAGUCACACUGGGACUGAGACACGGCCCAGACUCCUACGGGAGGCAGCAGUAGGGAAUUUUGCACAAUGGAGGAAACUCUGAUGCAGCGACGCCGCGUGAGUGAU
rnacentral:rRNA from 1 species